rnacentral:rRNA from 1 species
UACGGAAGGCAGCAGUGGGGAAUAUUGCACAAUGGGCGCAAGCCUGAUGCAGCCAUGCCGCGUGUAUGAAGAAGGCCUUCGGGUUGUAAAGUACUUUCAGUCGUGAGGAAGGUGUUAAGGUUAAUAACCUUAGCAAUUGACGUUAGCGACAGAAGAAGCACCGGCUAACUCCGUGCCAGCAGCCGCGGUAAUACGGAGGGUGCGAGCGUUAAUCGGAAUUACUGGGCGUAAAGGGCACGCAGGCGGUUAAUUAAGUUGGAUGUGAAAUCCCCGGGCUUAACCUGGGAAUGGCAUUCAAGACUGGUUAGCUAGAGUCUUGUAGAGGGGGUAGAAUUCCAUGUGUAGCGGUGAAAUGCGUAGAGAUGUGGAGGAAUACCGGUGGCGAAGGCGGCCCCUGGCAAAGACUGACGCUCAUGUGCGAAAGCGUGGGGAGCGAAAC